CAGUAGCCACGGGAAUACAGAGGGUGCAAGCGUUAAUCGGAUUUACUGGGCGUAAAGCGUGCGUAGGUGGCUGUUUAAGUCGGAUGUGAAAGCCCUGGGCUUAACCUGGGAACUGCAUUCGAUACUGGAUAGCUAGAGAUCGGUAGAGGGCAGCGGAAUUCCGGGUGUAGCGGUGAAAUGCGUAGAUAUCCGGAGGAACACCGAUGGCGAAGGCAACUGCCUGGGCCUGAUCUGACACUGAGGCACGAAAGCGUGGGUAGCAAACAGGAUUAGAUACCCGCGUAGUCCCUGUCUCUUAUAC
rnacentral:rRNA from 1 species